CAAUAGCAUAUAUUAACGAUGUUGCAGUUGAAAAGCUCGUAGUUGAACUUUUGGUAGGAGCGACCUGGCCUUGGGCGCAUGCCCUUGUUUGCCGUGUGUCGUGUCUGGCCAUCCUUUUCUUCGUUUUUCGGAGGAAUCUUUUACUGUGAGUAAACUGGAGUGCUCAAAACAAGACGUUUGUUUGGUACAUUAAAGCAUGGAAUAAUAAGAUAGGACCUGGUUACUAUUUUGUUGGUUUGCAUAGCUAGGUAAUGAUUAACAGGGACAGUUGGGGGUAUUCGUAUUUAAUUGUCAGAGGUGAAAUUCUUGGACUUAUGAAAGACGAACGACUGCGAAAGCAUUUACCAAGGAUGUUUNCAUUAA
rnacentral:rRNA from 1 species